AUUGAACGCUGGCGGCAUGCCUUACACAUGCAAGUCGAACGGUAACGGGCCUUCGGGUGCCGACGAGUGGCGAACGGGUGAGUAAUGCAUCGGAACGUACCUUUCAGUGGGGGAUAACGUAGCGAAAGUUACGCUAAUACCGCAUAUUCUGUGAGCAGGAAAGCAGGGGAUCGCAAGACCUUGCGCUGAUUGAGCGGCCGAUGUCAGAUUAGCUAGUUGGUGAGGUAAAGGCUCACCAAGGCGACGAUCUGUAGCGGGUCUGAGAGGAUGAUCCGCCACCAUGGAACUGAGACACGGUCCAGACUCCUACGGGAGGCAGCAGUGGGGAAUCUUGGACAAUGGGGGCAACCCUGAUCCAGCCAUGCCGCGUGAGUGAAGAAGGCCUUCGGGUUGUAAAGCUCUUUCGGUCGGGAAGAAAUCGCAUGGGUUAAUACCCUGUGCGGAUGACGGUACCGGCAUAAGAAGCACCGGCUAACUACGUGCCAGCCGCCGCCGUAAAAC
rnacentral:rRNA from 1 species